CAAUAGCGUAUAUUGAAGUUGUUGCGGUUAAAAGUUCGUAGUUGGGUUGCUGUCGGUGAGUGGCAGUCCGGCCUCCGUGCUCGGUACCUGUAACGCCACCGACAUCUUCAUCUUCCUGGGGAUUGUGUCGGCUCGUCGUUGGGUGGUUCAUGAUCCAGGACUUUGACUUUGAAGAAAUAGGAGUGGUUCAAGCAGGCGCACGCCGUGAACACGUUAGCAUGGAAUAAAAGCAUCAGACCUCGUUCCUAACCUGUUGGUUUCUUGGACCGAGGUAAAGGCAAAUAGGGAUUGUUGGGGGCAUUCGUAUUUAACUGUCAGAGGUGAAAUUCUUGGAUUUGUUGAAGACGGACUACUGCGAAAGCAUUUGCCAAAGAUGUUCUCAUUGAUAAAGAACGAAAGUUAGGUGAUCGAAGACGAUCAGAUACC
rnacentral:rRNA from 1 species